rnacentral:rRNA from 1 species
CCGUUCAGAGUUUGAUACCUGGCUCAGGACGAACGCUGGCGGCGUGCUUAACACAUGCAAGUCGAACGGAAAGGCCCUUCGGGGUACUCGAGUGGCGAACGGGUGAGUAACACGUGGGUGAUCUGCCCUGCACUUUGGGAUAAGCCUGGAAACUGGGUCUAAUACCGAAUA